AACCCGUUACACGCAUUUCAAGCUAUCUGUUUUAUUGGUAAACUAACCACCAGAGCCGCUUCAUGCGACAUCUUGUGCGGACGGACGGACGGAAGCAAUGGCUCACAACCGCGACUCCGCAAAACUGUCUGGCAACACAAAAUUCUAUAGAUCUGGACUCCUGGAGAAACUUUAUUGUAAUCCACAAUAAUCUGCUGAGAAAAGGUAGCUCCACUACUUCCCUAGCUUUUAAGGCGACCAGGCUUAACAUGUUUCUAGAUCAUAUGUUAUUCGAUUAAACUCUAAAGACGACAGACUUAAUAUGUAUGCAACGUAGAAGGCAUUCUGCAAGCCAGCAGUCUUGCGUGUCAGGGGGUUAACCUCUUGAGACUCUGCAGGUAGUACGCAAGGGCAAGGGCAACCAAGAACUAACAGUUUCUAUUAGGGGAGGAUUAGGUGAUAAAUGUUGGAUACCGACAGUAUAAGUUUGGUGGCCUACUUCAGGUUGUACGGAACCCAAAGCGAGCUUGACAGCUGUAACACCAGCCCAUGGUUAUUUCGAAGUGCCUGCCUCACCACACCUUAUCACGCUCUUCUUUAUGAUCCACAAGGGCAGGUGGCAGCUUGUUGCCUCAUACUGUACCUGAGGGCCUCCUCGCAGUCCCAGCGCAGCACUUUGGUCUGUAGUGUAGACCUGAUGUUGGUUGGAGGCCACCU
rnacentral:lncRNA from 1 species